GACGAACGCUGGCGGCGUGCUUAACACAUGCAAGUCGAACGAGGCCCCUUCUUCGGGAGGGUGUUCUAGUGGCGAACGGGUGAGUAACACGUGGGCAACCUGCCCCCGGCUCUGGGAUAACUCCAAGAAAUUGGGGCUAAUACCGGAUAUGACCGCUGGCCGCAUGGUCUGGUGGUGGAAAGUUUUUUCGGCUGGGGAUGGGCCCGCGGCCUAUCAGCUUGUUGGUGGGGUAUGGCCUACCAAGGCGACGACGGGUAGCCGGCCUGAGAGGGUGACCGGCCACACUGGGACUGAGACACGGCCCAGACUCCUACGGGAGGCAGCAGU
rnacentral:rRNA from 1 species